GCAUUUUAAAAAUCAUCUGUAUCUUGUAACGAAGUAAAAUUAUGAAAUUGCCUGUGCUGACAUAAAAACAGAUAUGUAACCUGGAGAGAUAGCUAUUCCUUCAGUAUUUGAUAGAUCAGUGGCAUUCAUUUUCCAGAAUGAAUGGGAUCCUUCGUGGGCUGGUCAGGGUGGAGGAAGCUCCCUUGUCUGUUGGAACAGCUUCAGGUGCCUUUUCUUUGGCAGCAGUCCUGACAGGUACGUCUUCCCCUGCCUCUCCUCAUCACCACCUUGUUCUCAAAGGUGUACCCUACAUUGGAGCAGGGUGACAAUAACCCUUCAGCAACCUCAGUGUCAACCAAAAAUCCAUGGGGCUGUCCCAUUGCUAAGCAUCACAUCCCCAAAGCAUUUCAGGGAUCCAGGCUACCAGAGAUGACUGUGCUGGAGAUGGGAUAGUGGUGAGGACAAGGGGACACAGGAUCCAGGCAUCUUUGUCAGCCACUCCUCUUUGUAGAGAAGCCCAGCCUGGCUAUUUAUUUGAUUGUUUGUCUUGACAGUGAGUCCUUAUGUUGAACUGAGAGUGCCCUUUGUCUCUGAUAGCAGCAGCUCUCACCAGAGUGAACAGCAGGAGAUGGUGAGAGCUCUCCUUGGCUUUCCUUCACAUUCCUCUGCCUCUUGCACAGUACCAGGGUCCUGCAAAAGACACCACUGCCAGUUCCUCUUCCUUGAAGUUUUGAAAUGCAGCAGUCAAGAAAAAUCACAUUUUUCACUUGGUUUUGGUUUGCUUCUAGGGUAUGUCUGGUCCUCUUAUGAAUCAGAAGCAGUGGCAAACACAGUGUGCUGUCUCUCUAUCGGGUACAUACCAUCCCGGUUCCUUUCAGUUAGAUGGAGAACAGCAGUUCAGCUUAUUUUCCCGUGGAUGGACAAAGAAAGCCUUGUUCUCUGUCAUGCUGAUGUUUCUUUUCCACUUGGCACUGGCUUUCCCAAACACAUCACAUGCUGUGGGCAGCAGGCCAGCCUACCUGUCUGAGAAAAACAGACCUGAGUCUCCCUGCCCCACCCUGACCUCUCGGGAUGAUAACCCGCUGGCAAGAAACAUCAGCAAUAACUGUUUGGAAAACAGAUGCCUGACAACUUCUGCAUGCAACCGACUAUCCCUGCUGCCUCUCAUCCCAACAUGGCCCUCAGUGGUCACCAAGAUGCUUCCCUUGCCCAUGACCCACAGCAGCAUCCUUUCACACUGCUGGAAAACUGGUUCUGGAGAGAUCCGACCCAUGGGAGUAUGCUGCUAUGCUGCUUCCUGAGCAACAAAUACUCAAAGCUUUUUGCUAACUGAUGGGGAAAGCCUGCAGGGUGGCAAUGUGGAGCGCCUUGCUAGCUUUACACUGCUGUUUCUCUUAGGUAGCACCUAGAAAUCCCAAAAACACAUCUCUGAUGUAGAAUAUAGUAAAAGCCAUGAAACAACCUUGUUUGCUAAAUAGGUAAAUCUGCACAGGCAGGGAAACAACAGGAAAAUGAUACUGCUGAAAAAGUCACGUUUACAAAAGAAAAUAUUUCCCCCAAACUUACAUUGUG
ensembl:lncRNA